rnacentral:rRNA from 1 species
ACGAACGCUGGCGGCGUGCUUAACACAUGCAAGUCGAACGGAAAGGCCCUGCUUUUGUGGGGUGCUCGAGUGGCGAACGGGUGAGUAACACGUGAGUAACCUGCCCUUGACUUUGGGAUAACUUCAGGAAACUGGGGCUAAUACCGGAUAGGAGCUCCUGCUGCAUGGUGGGGGUUGGAAAGUUUCGGCGGUUGGGGAUGGACUCGCGGCUUAUCAGCUUGUUGGUGGGGUAGUGGCUUACCAAGGCUUUGACGGGUAGCCGGCCUGAGAGGGUGACCGGCCACAUUGGGACUGAGAUACGGCCCAGACUCCUACGGGAGGCAGCAGUGGGGAAUAUUGCACAAUGGGCGGGAGCCUGAUGCAGCAACGCCGCGUGCGGGAUGACGGCCUUCGAGUUGUAAACCGCUUUCGCCUGUGACGAAGCGUGAGUGACGGUAAUGGGUAAAGAAGCACCGGCUAACUACGUG